UACAGAGGUCUCAAGCGUUGUUCGGAAUCACUGGGCGUAAAGGGUGCGUAGGCCGCCCGGUAAGUCAGAGGUGAAAUCCCGGAGCUCAACUCCGGAAUUGCCUCCGAUACUGCCGUGCUUGAGGACUGGAGAGGAGAUUGGAAUUCACAGUGGAGCAGUGAAAUGCGUAGAUAUUGUGAGGAACACUAGUGGCGAAGGCGAAUCUCUGGACAGUUCCUGACGCUGAGGCACGAAGGCCAGGGGAGCAAACGGG
rnacentral:rRNA from 1 species